CCCCUAGAUGUUCUGGGCCGCACGCGCGCUACACUGAACAGUUCAACAAGUCUUAACCUUGGCCGAUAGGUCUGGGUAAUCUUUGAACGCUGUUCGUGAUUGGGAUAGACCUUUGCAAUUAUGGGUCUUCAACGAGGAAUUCCUAGUAAACGCAAGUCAUCAGCUUGCAUUGAUUACGUCCCUGCCCUUUGUACACACCGCCCGUCGCACCUACCGAUUGAAUGGUCCGGUGAAAUCUCGGGACGGCGGCUUGGUCGCUUGCGUCCGACUGCUGAAACUUGAUUAAACCAUAUCAUUUAGAGGAAGGUGAAGUCGUGACA
rnacentral:rRNA from 1 species